UACGUAGGUGGCGAGCGUUAUCCGGAAUGAUUGGGCGUAAAGGGUGCGCAGGCGGUCCUGCAAGUCUGGAGUGAAACGUAUGAGCUCAACUCAUGCAUGGCUCUGGAAACUGGAGGACUGGAGAGCAGGAGAGGGCGGUGGAACUCCAUGUGUAGCGGUAAAAUGCGUAGAUAUCACGAAGAACUCCGAUUGCGAAGGCAGCUCACUGGACUGCAACUGACACUGAGGCUCGAAAGUGUGGGUAUCAAACAGG
rnacentral:rRNA from 1 species